GUAGCUCAGUGGAAGAGCAUCUGCUUUGCAUGCUGAAGGUCCCAGGAUCAGUCCCCAGAACA
rnacentral:tRNA from 1 species